UACGUAGGGUGCGAGCGUUAAUCGGAAUUACUGGGCGUAAAGCGUGCGCAGGCGGUUCUAUAAGACAGAUGUGAAAAUCCCCGGGCGUUAACCUGGGAACUGCGUUUGUGACUGUAGGACUCGAGUGUGGCAGAGGGGGGUGGAAUUCCACGUGUAGCAGUGAAAUAGCGUAGAGAUGUGGAGGAACGACCGACUGGCGGAAGGACGAGCCCCGUCCGGGUCGAACAACUGACGCUCAUGC
rnacentral:rRNA from 1 species